rnacentral:lncRNA from 1 species
GUUGUUGCGACGGUAGCAGCGGUAGUUUGAGAUUUGAAAUUUCUCGAGCAGGGCGGCGGCUUUGUUUUUGACCUUCCCGCACUUUUUUCGCUACAAGAACAAGAUCCAGCCCUGCAGCAUCGACGAUGUCGCAGACACGACGGCUCCUCUCAAGGAAUUGCACGACUUACAGGUGUGCAACUGGAUGGGAAGUUGCGUAAUCUGCUGAAAGAUAUAGGGCUGCGGCCCCCGUCAUUCUUUCUCUCGAACACUAGGAAUGAUGCUACCCUAGAUAAAUCAAGCUGAAAUGAGCCAUGGGAUCAACGAUGCAGGAACAGUUAGGCUAAUACCCCUGCAGUGGCCUUCUUCAAAGAUGACCUCAACCAACUCACACAAGUGCAUGAGGCCAGUCCAUCUCCGAAGGUACCUGUCACCUG